AAAAUUAAAGAUGUGAGUUUUCUUAAGGCUGAUUGACAUAGACAUCCACACCACAUGUUGGGCAAAAAGAAUUAAUUUCAGAGCAAUCUUUCUUUAAUAAAAGUGGUCUCUCAUUAUAGGCAGUAUAUCCCUUUAUAUUUGAGUCAUGCAAUGCAAGGCAUGAAGGGUCACUUUCUAGGCCACACCAGAAGAACCCAACAGGACUGAAUAGAACAUGAUCAACAAAAAUCAACAUUUGAGGCGCUUUUUUUUAGUGUCACGUGUGAUUAGAGUUUCAAUUUUUAUUAUUAUUUUUUUUUGUUAACCUUAAAACUUUAUAAGAAAUUAAUACAAAUACAAAAAUAUAUUGAAAUUUUUUUUUUUUUUUUCCAAACUCCUUGCAACAUUAUCCUCGACUAUGACGUAUGAAAACAAAAUUUUUACCUUGGGAAAUUUGAAGUAAUAAACAAAUGAAACAUACGAUCAAUUAUUAAGAAAAGAUAGAAUGAUGUGUCUAGCAGUAAAACAAUUCACAAAGCAAUUCAUGACACAAAACUAAAGGAACUCAUAUCAUGCAUUUAUGGAUGUGUAUUUUCAGAUGAUAAAAAAAGCUUUCAACCUACUCCGUGGAUAUACCUUUCCACAAUGCUUAUUUUAUUUGAGCCUCUGAAAUUACCAAUUCUAAACAGAUUGGCACGAACCUUAACAUAUGCAAAGUAGUUCCUUAUUUCCGGUACAUCACCAAGAUAAUAGGAAUGAGGACGACUCCAUCCACCGCAUGGAAUUUGCACAAACUGCAACAAAAUAUGGGUCCCUCCUUGGGCAUCAAAAUAAAUAACACAAACAACUUACAAAUCAUUUCAGUAAGCAGUCUGAGGUACAGCAAAAGACUCUACUUUGGUCUCGGUAAUUAAGUUGCAAAUAAUAAAAUCCACUGAUGCAAAACCAGCAGCACAAUGGCAGCUUGACAACUCAUUGACAGAGCUAUUAUCAGUGGAGACGGAUUGAAUAAGACUCAACUCCUUAAGCCCUCUCGCUGUCUCCUCCUCUUCCACCCCUCUCCCCUUCUCUCACCUCUCCCCUUUAUCGCUACUUUGGUUUUCAGCCUAUCCCUCUCAAACACCCUUUUCUCUCCCUUAUUUUAUUGCUAUUUCAUAUGUUCUGGGAAGCCCAAGCAAAGGAAGCAUAUGUGGGCGGAAGACACCACUCUAGCAAGUCGCUCUACUCGUGAAGGAAUCUGCUUCAAAUUCUGUUACAUAUAUGGUAUUCCUUUUCUUCUUUAAGUCUAUUUUCUUCAUUUUCUUUAAAGUAUUGGCAUGUGCUGCUGUUUCUUUUCAACCUAAACCCAAUCUUUCUAUGAAUUUCUCCACAAUCUCUUUCUAAUUUGUUCUUUUUAUUGUUACAGUUUCCUUUUUUGGGGCUUUCUCUUGUAGGGACUUGUCCAUUCUCGAGUGAUUAUUUCUUGCUCCAUUCUGAAUGUUAGCUUGUUGCUCAUUCUUUGCUCUGUUAUUUGGAUGUUAGUUUGAAUCUCUCUAUUUUUAGUUGGUACUUCACAUUCUUACUUGAAUCUCAUUGGAAACUCUAAUGGAACCACUAGUUUUAAAUUUCCCUAUGUGUUCAUUUGGUUAUGAACUUUCAUUUUGUUUUUAGUUUUGGAUUCAUUCUUUAUUUUGUUUGGAAUUUGGAACACUGAUUUCUAAUUAUGAAACAUCUCUCUAUUAAAAUAACUUCAUUAAAUACAUGUAAUCUGAUUUGGGGCUGGGGCAUAAGGUCUUGUUUGUAGGUGCUGUUUUGAAGGAGAUGAAAGAGAAGAGGAAAUUGAGCUUUAGUUUCCAAUCUUUAUUAAUAAUUUGUGCAGGCUUAUAGUUUCCAUUUCUAUGUAGAUGGAUUUAUAGGCAAGGUGAGGAUUCUAAAUUAGGUUCCAUUCUUUUUUCUUUUUUCCUACAAUUUUGUUUCUUGAAGAUUUGUUGGCUUUGUGCAAAUGGAGAACACGUUUAAUUUUGAAACCCCACACAUCAAUUGAUUAAGCUAGUCUCUCUCCCACUUUGACACAUGCAAACAAGCACAUUUUGUUUUUGUUGAGUUUCUUUGUUCUAGGGAAAUUUUUUUGUUCGUGAAAAUUACAAUGGAUGACUGCUAAAAUGAGUUUUCUAACAAAAAUGUAGGGGAUUUUGAUAAAUGGCCAAGGCCACAUAUCAAAUGCAAGUUUGAUUCUUGUUAGCUUGUGUCUGCUAUUACGAGGAGGUUUUUGCAUAGGUUGCAUGUGGUUUGGUGUGUUAGAGAUUGAUUUUUGUUGUUAUAUUCAUGAGUAUGGGUUGGAGGCCAGUGUCAAUUUGUUUCAGGCUUCAAUAGGAGUGCUGGUCAGUUUUUUUAUUUUUCUGUUAUUUUUUAGGAUGAUGCUGUUUGAAUUUUAUUAGUUUUAAAGUGAAUUUUUGAAGAAUAUUGUCAUACUGAAUUGUGUUUGGGUAGGUGGGUUCCAUUAGCACUUCAUCCCGAAUUGUAAGCAUUAUUCAUAUUUUCUAUUCAAUUUGAAACUUAUA